rnacentral:misc_RNA from 1 species
AAAAAAAAAAAAAAAAGAAAAAAUGCAAAACUUAGUUCCUUUUUCUUUCCUUCGCUGACACUUACAACGAGUGAAUCUCUGUGUAGGCCAUCUGAUUGUAAUGGAAGUGUAUAGUUUCCCAGUUUCCAUUAAGAUGAUGAAAGCAAACUAACCCUUGUUUCUCGUUUUUAUAAAUUUAAAGAGAUCAUCACAAUUUUCAUUCUAAUGUUAUCUGCUGCAAACUACAAAAAACUGUUGGAUUUUUACCUUUGCCGUUUGGAAUUUCUUUUAGAAAAGCACAAGAAACUGUGCUUUAUUUGUGUUGUGUUAAAGAUCUUAAGCCUUGAGUUCCAUCUGGGAAAUCAAUGGGCAAUUUCUUUUUGAAUUAUGUGUUCUUAACUUGACCAAUGAAUUUAACAGUAUACAAAUAGGAAAAGGUAUAUUGGAGUAUAAUUGAUAACAACUUAAAUGUAGUUUUUUUUUUGGUCUUCUAUCUAGUUUUGAGUCAUUCUGGCCAUAAUUUAGAUUUAUUAUGAGAACCAUUUUGUCUUCUCCUUUUUAGGUAUGUUUAACUCACAAAUUUUCUGUGGAGCUGUGGGAAUUUUUUUUUUUUUUU